GCCUCGCUGGCUCAGUCGGUUAAGCGUCUGACUUCGGCUCAGGUCAUUAUCUCACAGUUUGUGGGUUCGAGCCUCAUGUAGGGCU
rnacentral:tRNA from 1 species